UACGUAGGGAGCAAGCGUUGUUCGGAUUUACUGGGCGUAAAGGGCGCGUAGGCGGCAAAUUAAGUCAGCUGUGAAAUCUCCGAGCUUAACUCGGAACGGUCAGCUGAUACUGAUCUGCUAGAGUGCGGAAGGGGCAAUCGGAAUUCUUGGUGUAGCGGUGAAAUGCGUAGAUAUCAGGAAGAACACCCGUGGCGAAGGCGGCUCUCUGGGACGGUACUGACGCUGAGGCGCGAAAGCGUGGGGAGCAAACAGG
rnacentral:rRNA from 1 species